AAUGAACGCUGGCGGCGCGCCUAAUACAUGCAAGUCGAGCGAGAAGACGUAGCAAUACGUUUGUAAAGCGGCGAACGGGUGAGGAAUACAUGGGUAACCUACCCUCGAGUGGGGAAUAACUAGCCGAAAGGUUAGCUAAUACCGCGUACGCUCCUUGGACUUCGGUUCAGGGAGGAAAGCGAUACCGUGGGUAUCGCGCUCUUGGUUGGGCUCAUGUCCUAUCAGCUUGUUGGUGAGGAACGGCUCACCAAGGCUUCGACGGGUAGCUGGUCUGAGAGGACGAUCAGCCACACUGGCACUGCGACACGGGCCAGACUCCUACGGGAGGCAGCAGUAAGGAAUAUUGCGCAAUGGGCGAAAGCCUGACGCAGCGACGCCGCGUGGGGGAUGAAGGUCUUCGGAUUGUAAACCCCUUUCGGGAGGGAAGAUGGAACGAGCAAUCGUUCGGACGGUACCUCCAGAAGCAGCCACGGCUAACUUCGUGCCAGCCGCCGCCGUAA
rnacentral:rRNA from 1 species